CUGGGUAGCUCAAAGGAAUGUGCUGACACUAUUUCCUCUGGGGAACGCCCCUCCGCUGACAUUCAAGCCCAAGCUUUGUAAACCUGUGCGGAUUGUAAAGAUUUAGUAACUCGUGUUGUUGCCGAGGGCGUGACAAGUGACUUCCAACACCUCGAUACUGCGCUGUACCUGCCCUUUUGAGCGGCCCUUGAUGAGCCAGUCAUCCAGACAGGGAUAGAUCUGGACCCCCAACAUCUGAAGUGCAGUGCAGGAAGGAGGAAGGAUUCAGAGUCUAUCAAGAACAAGAACUGCAAGACAACUCGUCCAAAUCUGGCAUCUUCCCUUGAUGCUUGCACUUAGGAUGGAAGAAUCCCAUUCACUGUUACAGACUAUGGACCGAAUGGGUAGGAAGCAGUUCUGCAGAAAAGGACCUAGGGGUUACGGUGGACGAGAAGCUGGAUAGGAGU